rnacentral:rRNA from 1 species
UACGAACUGUGCAAACGUUAUUCGGAUUCACUGGGACGUUAAAGGGUGCGUAGGCGGCCAUGUAAGUAGGGUGUGGAAAUCCCCCGGCUUAACCGGGGAACUGCGCCCUAAACUGUGUGGCUUGAGUGAGAUAGGGGUGUGUGGAACUUCCGGUGGAGCGGUGAAAUGUGUUGAUAUCGGAAGGAACGCCGGUGGCGAAAGCGACACACUGGGUCUCAACUGACGCUGAGGCACGGAAAGC